rnacentral:rRNA from 1 species
UACGUAGGGUGCAAGCGUUGUCCGGAAUUAUUGGGCGUAAAGAGCUCGUAGGCGGUUUGUCGCGUCGAAUGUGAAAACCCGGGGCUCAACCCCGGGCCUGCAUUUGAUACGUGUUGUCUAGAGUGAGGAAGAGGGUUGUGGAAUUCCCAGUGUAGAGGUGAAAUUCGUAGAUAUUGGGAAGAACACCGGUGGCGAAGGCGGCAACCUGGUCCUUGACUGACGCUGAGGCGCGAAAGCGUGGGGAGCAAACAGG